CAGCUAGAGAGGCAGGUACUCUGCGAGCAAUGGUGGGAGGAGAAGCCUAACUGCAGAACAAAGAUGUCACCAUGGAUGAUGCUUCACAUCUGGGUUCUGAUUUGGAGAAGUGCAGAUAAUCACAGCUGCAAAUAACAUCAAGAGAAACUGUGUUCUUCUCUGAAAUUACCUCAUGAAGAGACUCCAAGGAUAAGUUCAUGAGUGUCUAUGGGCACUAUGGUGAUGGGUGUCACAGAAAACCCAGGAAGAAUGAAUAAAUCCAUACAAGGCCAUAGCUAUUGUACAGAAGGCAAUACAGUAC